rnacentral:rRNA from 1 species
UAAGCACUCAUACUGUGAAACUGCGAAUGGCUCAUUAAAUCAGUUAUCGUUUAUUUGAUAGUACCUUACUACUUGGAUACCCGUGGUAAUUCUAGAGCUAAUACAUGCUAAAAACCCCGACUUCGGAAGGGGUGUGUUUAUUAGAUAAAAAACCAAUGCCCUUCGGGGCUGCUUGGUGAUUCAUGAUAACCAAACGAAUCGCAUGGCCUUGAGCCGGCGAUGGUUCAUUCAAAUUUCUGCCCUAUCAACUUUCGAUGGUAGGAUCUGGGCCUACCAUGGUAUCAACGGGUAACGGGGAAUUAGGGUUCGAUUCCGGAGAGGGAGCCUGAGAAACGGCUACCACAUCCAAGGAAGGCAGCAGGCGCGCAAAUUACCCAAUCCCGACUCGGGGAGGUAGUGACAAUAAAUACUGAUACAGGGCUCUUUUGGGUCUUGUAAUUGGAAUGAGUACAAUUCAAAUCCCUUAACGAGGAACAAUUGGAGGGCAAGUCUGGUGCCAGCAGCCGCGGUAAUUCCAGCUCCAAUAGCGUAUAUUAAAGUUGUUGCAGUUAAAAAGCUCGUAGUUGAACCUUGGGCCAGGCUGGCCGGUCCGCCUAACCGCGUGCACUGGUCCGGCCGGGCCCUUUCCUCUGGGGAGCCUCAUGCCCUUCACUGGGCGUGUUGGGGAACCAGGACUUUUACUUUGAAAAAAUUAGAGUGUUCAAAGCAGGCCUUUGCUCGGAUACAUUAGCAUGGAAUAAUAGAAUAGGACGUGCGGUCCUAUUUUGUUGGUUUCUAGAACCGCCGUAAUGAUUAAUAGGGACAGUCGGGGGCAUCAGUAUUCAGACGCGAGAGGUGAAAUUCUUAGACCGUCUGAAGACUAACUACUGCGAAAGCAUUUGCCAAGGAUGUUUUCAUUAAUCAGUGAACGAAAGUUGGGGGAUCGAAGACGAUCAGAUACCGUCGUAGUCUCAACCGUAAACUAUGCCGACUAGGGAUCGGGCGACGUUCCAAUUAUGACUCGCCCGGCACCUUACGAGAAAUCAAAGUUUUUGGGUUCUGGGGGG